rnacentral:rRNA from 1 species
CCCGGGAGGCAGCAGUGAGAAAUAUUGGUCAAUGGGCGCGAGCCUGAACCAGCCAAGUCGCGUGAGGGAUGACGGUCCUACGGAUUGUAAACCUCUUUUGCCGGGGAGCAAGCGUUCGGUCGUGAACGCGCGUCGCGAGUACCCGGAUAAAAAGCAUCGGCUAACUCCGUGCCAGCAGCCGCGGUAAUACGGAGGAUGCGAGCGUUAUCCGGAUUUAUUGGUUUUAAAGGGUGCGUAGGCGGGAUGCCAAGUCAGCGGUAAAAAUGCGGUGCUCAACGCCGUCGAACCGUUGACACUGGCGUUAUUGAGUGGGCGAGAAGUAUGCGGAAUGCGUGGUGUAGCGGUGAAAUGCAUAGAGAUCACGCAGAACUCCGAUUGCGAAGGCAGCAUACCGGCGCCCUACUGACGCUGAGGCACGAAAGCGUGGGUAUCGAACAGGAUUAGAUACCCUUGUAGUC